rnacentral:lncRNA from 1 species
UGGAAUUGGUGAAUGCAUGGUUGUGGAGCAAAAGUGGGUUUUAAAAUCUUGUUUGAGUUUUUUCUUUUAACAAAUAAUUUUGACAUAUUUUUAAAGAAUAAUUUCUAUGUCACCUGUCAUAUGCUAUGCUAAAAAAUUUUCACAAGAUGAAAUGAGCAAAUUUAAAUAAGGAAAUGUGUUGUUUUUCUUUUGGUUGUACUAUUAAUUAUCAGAUUUCGUACUUCUUGAAAAAGAGAUUUUACUCUUUUGGGUUAGUAAAUAUAUGUAGUAAACUGCUGUUAAUACCAUGUAUUUCAUAAAUGCACUUUUGGUUAUUGAAAUUUUCAUAAUAAUUUUUACCAUGGAAGUGGCUUGUAGAGAAAGCUGUAAGUAGGUAAAUAUUGGGAGAAGGUAAUCACUAAGAAUGGUCUAUUCCAUCUUCACCUUCAAUUACUAGGAUCAUGUUUAGUUUUCAUGUCAAUUGCAUGAGUUGAUUCUGUUUCCUCCAGUUCCAAAUAAGGCAGGGAGCAAAUUUUAGAAAUUUUUCAUGGCUUUAUUCUCCUUUCCUCCUUCUUCCCCUUCCCUAAUCCUGAUUAUUUGGAUUGACUUAACUGUUCAUAAAAUUCAGAAGAUCUAGAAAGAAUAGUACAUUUGCAGAGUUAACCACAAUCUCAAAAGCUUUAGGGAAUUUUGAAGUCUUUAUCUUCAUCAACCUUUUAAGAAUCUCAAACUCAAAAAAUAAAUAUUCCAAUACUCCAUAAAUCUGUUUAUUUCUGACAUAAAUACUUGAAAUGGCAAGGCAUUAUUCUCACAUUUCUUAUAUAAAAUUAAACUUUUUAUUUAGUGUGUUCAUUGCUAUGCAAGAAAUUAUUAGGCUAAUAAGAAUUCUAUAAAUUCUAAGUUUUUGAAAUUUAAUUUGAUUUCCUUAGAAAAUUAUUACCGAAUGUCAGUUUGAAAACUUUCAUAUAUCAGCUCCCAUUUUAAAUUCUUUUUGUGUGUAAUUUAUUUUCACAUAAUUAUAGGACUUGGAAGCUUAUUACAAAAAUAUAUUUAUGCUCACUUUAGUAAGUAGUAAGCAAUCUGUGAGGCAGAUGCAAAUAUUUUAUUGAGUGCAUAUAAUUCUAAUUGCAUCUCCUAUUCUAGUGACUUAUGCUCACAAGGAUUCCUAAGACCACUAAAUCUACCUUUUGUUUUUUGUCGUUAAAAAGAAUCAAUAAUAUAUGCAAUACCACCUUAAAGAUGCCUUUAACAUUCUUCAAGAGAAAACAAAAGCAAUUAAAAUACAGAAUUUUCAUUUCCAAGCAACAGAAUAGAGAUUUUUAUGAAUGGGUACACUUCUUAUUCAUUUAUUUAUUUGUUAGCUUUUAUUUUAGGUUCAGAGGUACUUGUGCAGGUUUGUUAGGUAGAUAAAUUGCACAUCACAGGGCUUUGGCAUACAGAUUAUUUCAUCACCCAGGUAAUAAGCAUAGUACCCCAUAGGUAGUUUUUCGGUCCUCACUUUCCUCCCUUCCUCCACCCUCAAGUAGGCUCCAGUGUCUGCUGUUUCCUUCUUUGUGUCCAUGACUACUCAAUGUUUAUCUCCCGCUUAUAAGUGAGAACAUGUGGUAUUUGGUUUUCUGUUCCUGUGUCAAUUUGCUUAGGAUAAUGGCCUCUAGUUCCAUUACUGUUGCUACAAAGGUUAAAAUUUCAGACUUUUUUAUGUCUAUAUAAUAUUCCAUGUUGUAUAUUUACCACAUUUUAUUUAUCCAGUCCACCAUUGGUGGGCAUUUAGGUUGAUUCCAUGUCUUUGCUAUUGUGAAUAGUGCUGCAAUGAACAUAAACAUGAAUGUCUUUAUGGUAGAACAAUUUAUAUUCCUUUGGCUAUGUACCCAAUAAUGGGAUUGCUGGGUCAAAUGGUAAUUCUGUUUUAAGUUGUUUGAGAAAUCACCAAAUUGCUUUACACAAUGGCUGAACUAAUUUACAUUUCCACCAGCAGCAUAUAAGUGUUCCCUUUUCUCUGCAGCCUCACCAGCAUCUGUUAUUUUUUGACUUUUUAGUAAUAGCCACUCUGACUGUUCUAAG